CCAGACUCCUACGGGAGGCAGCAGUGGGGAAUAUUGCACAAUGGGCGAAAGCCUGAUGCAGCAACGCCGCGUGAAGGAAGAAGGGUUUCGGCUCGUAAACUUCUAUCAACAGGGACGAAAGAAAUGACGGUACCUGAAUAAGAAGCCCCGGCUAACUACGUGCCAGCAGCCGCGGUAAUACGUAGGGAGCAAGCGUUAUCCGGAUUUAUUGGGUGUAAAGGGUGCGUAGACGGGCUAACAAGUUAGUUGUGAAAUCCCUCGGCUCAACUGAGGAACUGCAACUAAAACUAUUAGUCUCUGAGUGCGGGAGAGGAAAGUGGAAUUCCUAGUGUAGCGGUGAAAUGCGUAGAUAUUAGGAGGAACACCAGUGGCGAAGGCGACUUUCUGGACCGUAACUGACGUUGAGGCACGAAAGUGUGGGGAGCAAACAGGAUUAGAUACCCGAGUAGUA
rnacentral:rRNA from 1 species